GAGUUUGAUCCUGGCUCAGAUUGAACGCUGGCGGCAUGCCUUACACAUGCAAGUCGAACGGUAACGCGGGGCAACCUGGCGACGAGUGGCGAACGGGUGAGUAAUACAUCGGAACGUACCCAGUAGUGGGGGAUAGCCCGGCGAAAGCCGGAUUAAUACCGCAUACGACCUGAGGGUGAAAGCGGGGGAUCGCAAGACCUCGCGCUAUUGGAGCGGCCGAUGUCAGAUUAGGUAGUUGGUGGGGUAAAGGCCUACCAAGCCGACGAUCUGUAGCUGGUCUGAGAGGACGACCAGCCACACUGGGACUGAGACACGGCCCAGACUCCUACGGGAGGCAGCAGUGGGGAAUUUUGGACGAUGGGCGCAAGCCUGAUCCAGCCAUGCCGCGUGCGGGAAGAAGGCC
rnacentral:rRNA from 2 species